AGAGUUUGAUCCUGGCUCAGGAUGAACGCUAGCGGCAGGCUUAACACAUGCAAGUCGAGGGGCAGCGGGGAGGAAGCUUGCUUUCUCCGCCGGCGACCGGCGCACGGGUGAGUAACACGUAUGCAACCUGCCCCUGUCAGGGGGACAACCCGCCGAAAGGCGGGCUAAACCCGCGUACAUGCCACCGGGGCAUCCCGGAGGCAGGAAAGGCUUCGGCCGGACAGGGAUGGGCAUGCGGCGCAUUAGGCAGUAGGCGGGGUAACGGCCCACCUAACCGACGAUGCGUAGGGGUUCUGAGAGGAAGGUCCCCCACACUGGUACUGAGACACGGACCAGACUCCUACGGGAGGCAGCAGUGAGGAAUAUUGGUCAAUGGUCGGGAGACUGAACCAGCCAAGCCGCGUGAGGGAGGAAGGUACAGAGUAUCGUAAACCUCUUUUGUCAGGGAACAAGGGCGGGGACGUGUCCCCGGAUGAGUGUACCUGAAGAAAAAGCAUCGGCUAACUCCGUGCCAGCAGCCGCGGUAAUACGGAGGAUGCGAGCGUUAUCCGGAUUUAUUGGGUUUAAAGGGUGCGCAGGCGGUCUGUUAAGUCAGCGGUCAAAGCCCGGGGCUCAACCCCGGCCCGCCGUUGAAACUGGCAGUCUCGAGUUGGAGAGAAGUAUGCGGAAUUCGUGGUGUAGCGGUGAAAUGCAUAGAUAUCGCGCAGAACUCCGAUUGCGAAGGCAGCAUGCCGGCUCCACACUGACGCUGAGGCACGAAAGCGUGGGUAUCGAACAGGAUUAGAUACCCUGGUAGUCCACGCAGUAAACGAUGAAUGCUGGCUGUCCGGGGGGAUUGACCCCUGGGUGGCGAAGCGAAAGCGAUAAGCAUUCCACCUGGGGAGUACGCCGGCAACGGUGAAACUCAAAGGAAUUGACGGGGGCCCGCACAAGCGGAGGAACAUGUGGUUUAAUUCGAUGAUACGCGAGGAACCUUACCCGGGCUCAAACGGGGAGUGACUCAGGCAGAGACGCCUGUUUCCCACGGGACACUCCCCGAGGUGCUGCAUGGUUGUCGUCAGCUCGUGCCGUGAGGUGUCGGCUUAAGUGCCAUAACGAGCGCAACCCCCGCGUGCAGUUGCUAACAGAUAACGCUGAGGACUCUGCACGGACUGCCGGCGCAAGCCGCGAGGAAGGCGGGGAUGACGUCAAAUCAGCACGGCCCUUACGUCCGGGGCGACACACGUGUUACAAUGGGUGGUACAGCGGGAAGCCAGGCGGCGACGCCGAGCGGAACCCGAAAUCCACUCUCAGUUCGGAUCGGAGUCUGCAACCCGACUCCGUGAAGCUGGAUUCGCUAGUAAUCGCGCAUCAGCCAUGGCGCGGUGAAUACGUUCCCGGGCCUUGCACACACCGCCCGUCA
rnacentral:rRNA from 1 species